UACGAAGGGGGCUAGCGUUGCUCGGAAUGACUGGGCGUAAAGGGCGCGUAGGCGGAUGGCACAGUCAGAUGUGAAAUUCCUGGGCUUAACCUGGGGGCUGCAUUUGAUACGUGUGAUCUAGAGUGAGGAAGAGGGUUGUGGAAUUCCCAGUGUAGAGGUGAAAUUCGUAGAUAUUGGGAAGAACACCAGUGGCGAAGGCGGCUCACUGGCCCGAUACUGACGCUGAGGCACGAAAGCGUGGGGAGCGAACAGG
rnacentral:rRNA from 1 species